rnacentral:rRNA from 1 species
AGGAUCAUUCGCAAUGGACGAAAGUCUGACGAUGCGACGCUGCGUGGAGGAUGAAGGUCUUCGGAUCGUAAACUCCUGUCAUGAGGGAAAAGGCGAGGGUACCCAACACGUACUUUAGUUGAUGGUACCUCAAGAGGAAGGGGCGGCUAACUCUGUGCCAGCAGCCGCGGUAAUACAGAGGCCCCUAGCGUUGUUCGGAUUUACUGGGCGUAAAGGGCACGUAGGCGGCGAGGCGUGUCGAGUGUGAAAUCUCCGGGCUCAACCCGGAAAGUGCGCUCGAAACUACCUUGCUGGAGUACGGGAGAGGGAAGGGGAAUAUAGGGUGUAGCGGUGAAAUGCGUUGAUAUCCUAUAGAACACCGGAGGCGAAGGCGCCUUCCUGGAACGUUACUGACGCUAAGGUGCGAAAGUCGGGGGAGCAAACA